rnacentral:rRNA from 1 species
GGCAACCGUCCUUUUGAAUGCAAGAGUACAAGCGGGCUUGACUGCGAGGCCCACAAGCCGAGCAGGUGCGAAAGCAGGCUCUAGUGAUCCGGCGGCCCCGAGUGGGUGGGCCGUCGCUCAACGGAUAAAAGGUACUCCGGGGAUAACAGGCUGAUCUUGCCCAAGAGUCCACAUCGACGGCAAGGUUUGGCACCUCGAUGUCGGCUCAUCGCAUCCUGGGGCUGGAGCAGGUCCCAAGGGUACGGCUGUUCGCCGUUUAAAGCGGUACGCGAGCUGGGUUCAGAACGUCGUGAGACAGUUCGGUCACUAUCCUCCGUGGGCGCAGGAGAAUCGAUGGAGGCUGCCCCCAGUACGAGAGGACCGGGGUGGACGCACCUCCGGUGAACCGGUUGUCGACCAACGGCACGGCCGGGUAGCCGCGUGCGGCGCGGAUAACCGCUGAAGGCAUCUAAGCGGGAAGCCGUUCCAGGGAUUAGUUCUCCUUCCGGUAAGGGCCCAGGUAGACUACCUGGUCGAUAGACGGCAGGUGCAAGGGCGGCGACGUCCUCAGCCGAGCCGCACUAAUCGCCCGAGCUCUUCCGGAA